rnacentral:misc_RNA from 1 species
UGGUUCUGGCAUCGACGAAGAACGCAGCGAAAUGCGAUAAGUAAUGUGAAUUGCAGAAUUCAGUGAAUCAUCGAAUCUUUGAACGCACAUUGCGCCCCUUGGUAUUCCGGGGGGCAUGCCCGUUCGAGCGUCAUUACACCACUCAAGCCCGGCUUGGUGUUGGGCCCCGGGGGUGACCCGGGCCCGAAAGUCGUCGGCCGGACCGGCUCCGAUACGCAGCGUCGUGAUCCAUCGAUUCGCUCGCGAGACGGCCGUUCCGCGCCGGAACCCCUUCUUUCUCAGGUUGACCUCGGAUCGGGUAGGGAUACCCGCUGA